rnacentral:rRNA from 1 species
GACGAACGCUUGCGACGUGCCUAAGAAAUGCAAGUCGAGCGAGGAGCAAUCCUAGCGGCGAACGGUCGCGUAACACGUAAGCAACCUGCCCCAAAGACCGGGACAACAGCGCGAAAGCGCUGCUAAUACCGGAUGUGCCCGUGAGAAGUCCUCUUUUUACGAGUAAAUCAAGCAAUUGGCUUUGGGAGGGGCUUGCGGCCUAUCAGCUAGAUGGUGGGGUAACGGCUUACCANGGCGACGACGGGUAGCUGGUCUGAGAGGAUGGUCAGCCGGAUUGGGACUGAGAUACGGCCCAGACUCCGUACGGGGGGCAGCAGUCGGGGUAAUUUUGGGCAAUGGGGCGGCAAGCCUGACCCAGCAACGCCGCGUGAAGG